GAGACUUCUCCAACGUAAAUAGGAGAAGGAAAUUAAGGUUUCUCUGGAAUUCAACUAAAUCUAGAAAGAAGAGAGAUGUCAACAAAUUUGUCAUUAUCAAAUGAAAUGCUGUUAAUAGUAGUUGCCUAAAAUGACAAUAAACAAAUAUCCAAUGUCCCAGGUCAGCAGCAGUGUAUUUAAAAAGCAUACUAAUCUCCUCAGUAAGGUGA